rnacentral:rRNA from 1 species
CAACGGAUCUCUUGGUUCUGGCAUCGAUGAAGAACGCAGCGAAAUGCGAUAAGUAGUGUGAAUUGCAGAAUUCAGUGAAUCAUCGAAUCUUUGAACGCACAUUGCGCCCCUUGGUAUUCCAUGGGGCAUGCCUGUUCGAGCGUCAUUUGUACCUUC